GACGAACGCUGGCGGCGUGCCUAACACAUGCAAGUCAACUUGACUGAAGGAGCAAUCUGACAGUAGAGUGGCGCAAGGGUGCGUAACGCGUAAGUAACUUGCCCAAGGUAAGGAAUAACGUCGAGAAAUCGGCGCUAAUACCUCAUAAUGCAGCGGAUCCGCAUGGAUAUGUUGUUAAAGGUUUACCGCCUUGGGAUAGGCUUGCGUCUGAUUAGCUAGUUGGUGUGGUAACGGCACACCAAGGCUACGAUCAGUAACUGGUCUGAGAGGAUGAUCAGUCACACUGGAACUGAGACACGGUCCAGACUCCUACGGGAGGCAGCAGUGAGGAAUAUUGGGCAAUGCUCGAAAGAGUGACCCAGCAAACGCCGCGUGGAGGAUGAAGGUAUUCUAUAUCGUAAACUCCUGUGAGAGCAGACGAAAGACAGAUUAUUAAUCUGGAUGACUGUAUGCUCAGAGGAAG
rnacentral:rRNA from 1 species